rnacentral:lncRNA from 1 species
CUGGUCUGCAGCUUGCUUUUUCAAAUUAACUUCUUUCCAUUUCAGCACACAGGGGUCUGACUGGUUUGAGCAGCUGCAUAGCAAUGUAUUGAGUGCCAUCAUUGAUUGAACCAUUUCUGCUUUCUGUUCCUAGAGUGUGCUCCCCUUCAUGUGAAUGUCAAUGAUGGGGUUGUUAGUUGGUUCUCCCACCUCAUCCUGUUUGUCACACCCCCCCUUAGUGGUCCAACUCUCCUUGGGGGCAGCCAGUGGGAGCAGUUAGGGCAGCGGGCAGUCCCCUGGCUAGUCACCCAGGGCCUCUGCACCAGGCCCUCUGCACCACCUAGCCCAGACCCUCCUGCCUGCAGCCCAGUAGGAUGGGUGGAUCAGCUUGGAUUUCUGUGUGUCUUGGGUGCUUAUGGCGCUUGGCCCACCACAGAGAGCAGGCUUCUAAAGACUUAACUAAAUAGAAGAUGGCCAUUAAUGUCCUUCCUGAUGUUUUUAUACAAUAUCCUUUACUUUUCAAGGACAGAAAAGGCUUGAACUUUGGAUCAUGUAGUAACCAAAGAUGGAGUCUCGCUCUGUCGCCCAGGACGGAGUGCAAUGGUGCAAUCUCAGCUCACUGCAAGCUUCGCCUCCCAGGUUCACGCCAUUCUCCUGCCUCAGCCUCCUGAGUAGCUGGGACUACAGGCGCCUGCCACCAUGCUCGGCUAAUUUUUUGUAUUUUUAGUAGAGAUGGGGUUUCACCAUAUUGGACAGGCUGGUCUCGAUCUCCUGACCUUGUGAUCUGCCUGCCUCGGCCUCCCAAAGUGCUGGGAUUACAGGUGUGAGCCACUGUGCCCAGCCCCCUUACAUCUUUUCUAAAGUUGUUGGUCUGCAAACUACUGGAACUGGUGGCCAAUGGUUCAGCUAGCACAUUAAAUCUAAAUCUUGCAUUAGGGAACUCAUAUCAAUAAAUUUGACUUGCUCCAACAUUAUGUUCACCCUCCUGGGUCUAGCAUCAUUGCAAUUUAUUUCUAAAUCUCCC